GCCGAAUAUUACAGCAUAAAUUAUCUGCUUAACUUAAAUGAUUAUCAGUUGAAUAAGCAAGCUUACAUAUGAAAGAGUAUAAUGAAAAUUUGCAGAGGCAGAAAUCUACCCAAACCCAAGACCUACCCCUCUGGGCCAGUUAUCCAAUCCAACAAUCUCUGAUGGUAGGCAGCUCAUGUACCAUAAUUUUGCUGCACUGUUGUGAACCUGUGAAUGGCCUUUUUUAGUGAACCGAGGUUCAUGUACCUCAAGGGUCCCAUAUGCACCAUCUCAGUAUAUCGAAGUCUCCACGGUGAGAAACCUAGAUGGCAUCUAACAGGUCCAUAAAUUAAUAGCAAGUCAGGUUCCGGCCCUUUGUAACCUAUAGCUUUUAGUGCCUCAUCCAUUUGAUCUUCUGUAAAGCAUGGUUCUUCCUUUCCUACACCAGUUUUAGCAUACUUCAAAUACUUCAUAAAGAGUACGUUAGCUGCCCUGGUUAUUGCUUCCUUUCCAUCGGAGCUGGAAGCAAAUUCCACAGUCAUCUGUUUCUGGUCCAGUAAAACAUCUUUUUCAACUGCUUCCUCAAAUGGCAUAGCAUUGUUCAAACUCUCCAUGAUGGUUUUCUUGUUUGUCUUGAGAACUCCUUUUGAAUCAUAGAGGCAUAAAUGUUUCACACCCAUAUCUUCCACCCAUUUCAAAAGCUGAAUAACUUUAGAAAUUUGGUAAGCUUCUUCACUAUCUACCACAAUGGCAAGGUACCGGACCUUGUCAAUAUCGAGGGCUCCAUAGCGUUUCACAAGUCCACUAGAGAUUAGAAAGCCUUCGAUCAUUUGGACCAUACUAACUUGAAGGUACCAUAAGCUGACAAGAAGAUGUAGAGUACGCCACAGAAAUUGAAGAAAAUGAUAACUAAUCGGAUCCACUAAACGAUUAACUCUCUGCCCUCCAGCUCCAGGUUUCAAAUCCAUUACUCUGGUGGUUUGGCUGUUCUUCCUUUCAGUGAAAGAGGCAGGGCGUCUUCC
rnacentral:misc_RNA from 1 species